UACGGAGGGAGCUAGCGUUGUUCGGAAUUACUGGGCGUAAAGCGCGCGUAGGCGGCUUUGUAAGUUAGAGGUGAAAGCCCGGGGCUCAACCCCGGAACUGCCUUUAAGACUGCAUCGCUUGAAUCCAGGAGAGGUGAGUGGGAUUCCGAGUGUAGAGGUGAAAUUCGUAGAUAUUCGGAAGAACACCAGUGGCGAAGGCGGCUCACUGGACUGGUAUUGACGCUGAGGUGCGAAAGCGUGGGGAGCAAACAGG
rnacentral:rRNA from 1 species